AUAAACCAAGAAAGGAGCUAGAAAUGAAUCCUAUGGAAAAUAUUAAUUCUACGAUUAAUUAAAAACAGGCCUCCGUGAAAAGCUAUCCUAAAUAGAUUUGUGUAUAAUUCAUUAGCAUUUCCUGUUUCUGUGCAAAAUCACCAAACAUUUUAAAAUAAUAAACAAGGAAUUUGAAAAAUUUUUUCAGAUGGAUACUUUAAGUGCCCCUUGAAUAUAUGGCAAUUCCAGUCACCUGCGGGUUUCUCCGAUUCUGAUAAAGAACACAUGUCAAUUCCAAGAGACUUAUCCCUCGAGAAUCGCCAAGAGACGUAUCCUGCCACGUACUUCAAUCCUUGACAAAUUUUUUCGGUGGCCAGUGCUUCUUCUACCGUCUUUAAAAGUGCACUUUCGUCAAUCGAGGGGAGAAUACAACAGUGUCAGUACCAAGGAAUCAAUGUGGGCUCACCGUAGUUUGUAGCUGCAAUUUUUCUUCUGCAUAUUUUCAACCAUUUCGCACGGAAGUGCGCAAUUUUUGGUAAUUGAUGAAAAGUUACUGCACAGUGUAUCACCAUUUUUAUCUACAAGAAAAAGACAGUGCUGCAUAUAGUAAUUUUACCCUUGG